rnacentral:RNase_P_RNA from 4 species
GAAGCUGACCAGACAGUCGCCGCUUCGUCGUCGUCCUUUCGGGGAGACGGGCGGAGGGGAGGAAAGUCCGGGCUCCAUAGGGCAGGGUGCCAGGUAACGCCUGGGGGGGGAAACCCACGACCAGUGCAACAGAGAGCAAACCGCCGAUGGCCCACGUAAGUGGGAUCAGGUAAGGGUGAAAGGGUGCGGUAAGAGCGCACCGCGCGGCUGGUAACAGUCCGUGGCACGGUAAACUCCACCCGGAGCAAGGCCAAAUAGGGGUUCAUAAGGUACGGCCCGUACUGAACCCGGGUAGGCUGCUUGAGCCAGUGAGCGAUUGCUGGCCUAGAUGAAUGACUGUCCACGACAGAACCCGGCUUAUCGGUCAGUUUCACUU